UACGAAGGGGGCUAGCGUUGCUCGGAAUCACUGGGCGUAAAGGGUGCGUAGGCGGGUCUUUAAGUCAGGGGUGAAAUCCUGGAGCUCAACUCCAGGACUGCCUUUGAUACUGAGGAUCUUGAGUUCGGGAGAGGUGAGUGGAACUGCGAGUGUAGAGGUGAAAAUUCGUAGAUAUUCGCAAGAACACCAGUGGCGAAGGCGGCUCACUGGCCCGAUACUGACGCUGAGGCACGAAAAGCGUGGGGGAUCAAACAGGG
rnacentral:rRNA from 1 species